AAUAUUAAAGGUCUGGUCUGCCCGGUGUAAUUAUUAACGGCCGCGGUAUUCUGACUGUGCAAAGGUAGCAUAAUCACUUGCCCUUUAAAUGGGGGAAUGUAUGAAUGAUUAGACGAGGUUUCGACUGUCUUCCCCCUAAAAACUGAGAUUUCAGUGUCUGUGAAAAUGCGGGCAUGGUUGUAAUGGACGAGAAGACCCUGUUGAGCUUGAAGACUACAUAUUAGCGUCUGUUAGAAUAAAAUAAUUAAUUAUCACCAAACAUGCGUAAUUAAACGGUCUUUUGGCUGGGGUGGCAAGCAAAGGAAUUAAGCUUUGAUAUUAAAUUUACAUUUUUAGGCUGUUUAUGCCAAGGAAUAUUAAUACAGAUCCGCUAAGAGCGAUUAAUAGAUAAAGUUACCACAGGGAUAACAGCGUAAUCCUUUUUGAGAGCCCAUAUUGACAAAAGGGUUUGCGACCUCGAUGUUGGAUCAAGAUUCCUGAUGGUGUAGCAGCUAUUAUGGGUUUGCCUGUUCGGCGAUUAAAAUCUUACGUGAUCUGAGUUCAGACCGUCGUAAGACAGGUUAGAUUCUAUCCUUACAUUCACAUAUUUAGUACGAAAGGACCAAUGGUGUGUAAUUUUAAGGUUUUUUUAAAUUAUA
rnacentral:rRNA from 1 species